UAAGGAAUAUUGGGCAAUGCCCGCAAGGGUGACCCAGCAACGCCGCGUGGAGGAUGAAUGUCGUAAGAUUGUAAACUCCUGUUAGAGGGGAAGAAUAGUACCGGUUGGACCGGUAUAUGACUGUACCCUCAGAGAAAGCCCCGGCUAACUACGUGCCAGCAGCCGCGGUAAUACGUAGGGGGCAAGCGUUGUCCGGAUUUACUGGGUGUAAAGGGCGCGCAGGCGGGAUAAAAAGUCAGUGGUGAAAUCCUACAGCUUAACUGUAGAACUGCCUUUGAUACUUUUAUCCUUGAGUUCGGGAGAGAGAGACGGAAUUCCGGGUGUAGUGGUGAAAUACGUAGAUAUCUGGAAGAACACCAGUUGCGAAGGCGGUCUCUUGGUCCGACACUGACGCUGAGGCGCGAAAGCGUGGGGAGCAAACA
rnacentral:rRNA from 1 species